UAGCUCAGUUUUCUCUGCAUUCACAUGCAAAUCUUUCACCUCCUACUAAAGAUUUCCGUGUAAUUGAACAUUGACGAGUUUUUCCUGUUUUUGGAGGCUCUGCUAUGGCUUGGGGCA
rnacentral:snRNA from 1 species